rnacentral:lncRNA from 1 species
UGAUUUGGGCCUUGGAGCCCAAGAUCUAUAGCAUUUGAAUUGGAGAGAGACCGCAUGAGGCUUCCUCUCAACAUCACGUGUUCAAAAACACCCUGACUUCCCUCCAUCAAGAUCAGCCUCCUCUGCCGCGCCAGAGGUUGCCUCUGGCGGCGACGGAGGCUUGAUAUCUUAAAAGAUUAACAUCAGUCCUUUCUCCUUUGCAUCCUAAGUCCAAAAAUCACCAUGCUGAAACCUAAUUUAACCUCCAUCGUGCAAAUCGAAGCGGCGAAAAGAAGAACACUAGAUCCUCUAAUAAAAAACUCUAAUAAAAAAUUAAAUGAUGCCUAUUGAGAUUUAGAGCCCUCGAUUUUAGGACUUUAACUCUUCUGAGAGUCUCCUAUAUGGAGGUAACUUAAUUGAAGUGAAACGAUGAGUAUUGAACAUAAACUCACCGGAGCACCGUACCGGAAAUGUCAGGUAAUCCUUCUGCAACUUCUCGUACUUCCUUUCCUUGGUUUCUCCUUCUUCUAAAUCCUCUUCUGUAACUGAAAACGCAUUGGACAGGAUGAUAGGUAGAGUAAAGCGAGCUUUGAGAUUCAGCAAUGGAAAUUGAGAUUUUGGAUUGAUUGAAAGUGUUUCAGUGUGAAGAAUCGAGAGAUUUGAGAGGAAGAAAAAUUUGAGAGUUUGAGUAUAGAGAAAAAUCAUGUUGAAUGAAUGAGAGUGAACUCAAUUUAUAGAACUGAUUUCUGAUAUGAAAUUUACUUUAAAUGCACAACCAAAUUCCUUGAAAUGCAAAGGUCAGUUAAAAAUGCCACAUUCUGUUAGCACCAGUUCAAUUUUAGUUUGAAAUGAGAGUCAAUUAUAUUUGUUUCAGUUAGAUUCAAUUAAUGUUCUGUUAGAGUGAAAAGUUUAGUGAGAUGAAAUGGAUUAAUUGGAGGGAAUAAUUCAGGUGGAGUGAGUGAAGCAGACCUGGAGACUCGAGUGAAAUGAAUUAGUUGCCUUGUAAUUGACAUUUGGAACCACUGAGUUGUAAUGCUGUGCUGGUUCAAUUAAUGUGAAAUAUCAAUUUUCUUAUUAGAUGGUCCAGUAAUACUCUGCUUCCUUGUUGGUUGUGUGAAUUAUCAUGAUUCAUGAUACCUUCUGUUGAUGUGAAAAUGUUAACUGAAUUGUAUAGCUAUGACAAAUCAUGUUGAUGCCUGCCUAUGAACUUGUCCCAUUGCAUAUUGGGUUGGCUUGCUUAUUUUUCUGAAAUGGUUGUGGAUUAAUUUGUGAAGUUGUUACAGGAGUUUGGAUCGAGGUUGCCCGGAUUUGCUGCUGAAGGCAUUGUUGAUCAAUGAGGGCUUGCUAAAAUGUGCUGAAAUUCAUGGUUAUUUGCUCAUGUCCAGCUCAUGACUUUGAUGGACUGCUUUUUGAAACCUUGAUGCAAAGGUUUCAAUGCUUGGUAUGUUAAUGCAGAAACAAGGUAAUUAUAGUUAAUGUAUGUGUGAUUAUUGCAAUUAUUGUUCAUAUAUGUGUGAUUAGGAUAGGUUAAAUAGUUUGGUGGUAUACUUGUCUAUGUCAUGAAAUUUAUGAAAUGUUCAUAUGCAUCAUGUUAGCUGGUUGGCUGGUGUUUAUAUGCAGGAUUAUGAAGCUUGAAAGGCUAAGUUUACAAGUCCUCAUGUAAGGCACAAGAACAAAGGCUUGACCAAAUUUUGCAAGGCUUGAUUAAUGGAGGAAAUGGUGGCCAUGGAAGAUCUAGGAAUGAUGCAUUUGAUGAAGAUGUGAUGAAUAUUAGAUUUUAGGAUGAAAAAAGUGAUGGUUGACUUUGGUCAACUGGUUGACCAAAAAGUCAAUAAUUGACCAAAAGUUAACUUUUGUAAAAAUGUAAAAUUUUGAUAUUUCUUUUGUAAUGAACAUUAUACAUGUUUAAUGAAUGAAUGAAUAACCAAUUGUGAAUGAAAUGUCCAUGAUGUAUGAGUCAAUCAAAUUUGACUUUUUGAAUGAAUCUCAUUUAGAACCAAACUUGAUAUAUUAAUGAAUC